rnacentral:rRNA from 1 species
UAGGGAAUCUUCCACAAUGGACGAAAGUCUGAUGGAGCAACGCCGCGUGAGUGAAGAAGGGUUUCGGCUCGUAAAACUCUGUUGUUAAGGAAGAACAUAUCUGAGAGUAACUGUUCAGGUAUUGACGGUAUUUAACCAGAAAGCCACGGCUAACUACGUG